GGGGGGGGCGGGCGGGGGGGGGGGGGGAGGGGAGUCGAGGGGACGGGGGCGACGCUUGCUGCGGUGCGUGUAGCGGCGGACGGGUGAGGCACGCGUGGAUAGCAUCCCUAUCAGGCUGGGGUAAACUCUGGGAACCGUCGCUAAUAACGGAUCCUAUUUUUAACCGCAUGGUUCAAAAGUGAAAGCCGGUCUUGCUGUCACUUAUAGAUGGAUCCGCGCUGCAGUCUCUAGUUGGUAAGGUAAAGCCUUACCAAGGCAACGCUGCAGAGCCGCCCUGAGAGUGUGAUCGGGCAGACGGGAACUGAGACACGGGCCAGACUCCUACGGGAGGCAGCAGUAGGGAAUCUUCCGCAAUGGGCGAAAGCCUGACGGCGCAACGCCGCGUGAGGGAUGAAGGUCUUCUGAUCGUAAAACCGUGUUAUUAGGGAAGAACAUAUGUGUAAGUACCUGUGCACAUCGUGACGGUACCUAAUCAGAAGGCAACGGCUAACUACGUG
rnacentral:rRNA from 1 species